ACCGACUGACGACGUGACUGUUGCAAUAUAGUUAUCGGAUUCGUAAAUAUAUUCCCAAUAAAUUCCCGGAAUACGUACACAAAGCAAAAUGAGUGAGCCAAUGAAGUCUGUUUCUGCCAUGAACAAAUUGUACAUAGGCAAUUUACCAAUAGAAGCCGACGAAGCAGCAGUGCGACAGCUAUUUGCUGAACAAAAUCUGACCGUUGCUGAGAUUUCAGUAAAGAGAGGUGGUUAUGCUUUCGUCGACUUUCCUGAUCAAUCAGCUGCUGAUCGGGCCAUAGACAAACUGCAUGGUUACUCAUAUUGUGGACUGCCUCUGAUUGUCGAGCCUUCGGUUGCUAAUAAGAAAAUGGUGAACGUAUCUAAUCUGCAAAGCGCGAGCACCACCCAACUGAAGGACACCAAUAAUGAGACUAUCCCUGGAGGUUGGAGGGCUAUCAAUGGGCUAAACGGGUGCGAACUGGAAGGAAGUCGGAUGAAGGUUGAGGCAGCUGAGCAGAAUACCCGUGGCGGCAGGCGCGGACGUCCCGGCGGCGGCCGCGGCGGCGGCGGCGCCACCGGCGGCGGCUCGCGCCCCACCGACUUCCCGCUGCGUCUGCUCGUGCAGAGCGAUAUGGUCGGCGCCAUCAUCGGCCGUCAGGGCAGCACCAUCCGCCUCAUCACACAGCAGAGUCGAGCUCGCGUCGAUGUCCACCGCAAGGACAAUGUUGGCUCUCUCGAGAAGGCCAUUACCAUAUAUGGCAAUCCUGAGAAUUGUACAAAUGCAUGCAAAAGAAUAUUGGAGGUCAUGCAACAGGAGGCCAACAAUACUAACAAGGGUGAGAUAUGCCUGAAAAUUUUGGCUCACAACAAUUUAAUUGGCCGUAUAAUUGGUAAAGGAGGUAACACCAUCAAGAGAAUCAUGCAAGAAACCGAUACCAAGAUCACUGUUUCCUCUAUCAAUGAUAUAAACAGCUUCAAUUUGGAGCGGAUCAUCACUGUCAAAGGCACCAUUGAGAAUAUGGCUAAAGCAGAGUCACAAAUUUCAGCUAAAUUACGCCAGAGCUAUGAAAGUGAUUUACAGAUGCUGGCACCGCAAAGCAUCAUGUUCCCCGGAUUGCAUCCGAUGGCCAUGAUGUCCACUGGGCGUGGAUUCUGCGGCGCCCCUCCACCAUUCCCGCCGCCUAUAUACGCUCCCCUGCCGGGCCAGGGAGGCGCGCAGCAAGGAGCCGGUGACUCACAGGAAACUACGUACUUGUACAUCCCAAAUAAUGCUGUGGGUGCAAUUAUUGGCACCAAGGGCUUACACAUUCGCAACAUCAUAAGAUUCAGCAACGCGUCUGUGAAGAUCGCUCCGUUGGAACAAGACAAGCAGGGCGAGAACCAAAGCAAUCCUCAGCAGGAGCGUAAGGUCACCAUAGUCGGAAGCCCCGAGGCUCAGUGGAAGGCUCAAUAUCUUAUCUUUGAGAAGAUGAGAGAAGAAGGCUUUAUGUCAGGCUCCGAUGACGUGCGGCUGACAGUUGAGAUAGUAGUUGCAUCUUCCCAAGUUGGCCGCAUCAUCGGCAAGGGCGGUCAGAACGUGCGAGAGUUGCAGCGCGUCACUGGGUCUCUUAUUAAGCUUCCUGAACAACCGCAGCAGGCGCAAGGCGGCGGUCAGCAGCAAGAUCACGACACAACAGUGCAUAUCGUCGGCCCCUUCUAUAGCGUACAGCGAUCACCUGAAGCGGGAUGAAACAUAAUCGAGACACUGCCUGUGUAAGGAUAGAAUCCUCAGUGUGAGCCAAUGAAAUAGCACAGCACCAUGGCCAUGCCAAGUUGUUUAUUGCAAUUGAUGCAAAAAUAUAGUCGGCGCAGCGACGCAUUCGUGCAAUGGUAGCGCAGGCGAGCGCGCCGGGCCGCCGCCGCGCCGCGCAGCCGCCGCCGCCCGUGCAGCAGUAAGCUGCGUCCGCACCUCCGAGCCCCGCGCCCUCCACCACCUCCACCCUCGAGCCCUCGCAACACCGUCAGCUCACACCGGCUCCCACCACACUAGCUUACGCACACUUACGCUGCACUCAAGGUAUUCCGUGUCGUUUUGCUUCGACCGAACGCUGGCAGGUUGUCGAGUUGACAUCAUGUGUCCAAAUGUUGUUGUUGACAUAAUUCUAUUAUUGUAGUGUAAUUAAAUCUAUUGAUAAAUCCAUAUUUUAUCCCGGGAGUUAUGUAUGUUGAUGAUUAAUAUUUGAAUAUAUAUUAUGCAUAUAUAUAUAUAUAUGAUAUUAUUCAUAUACACUAUUUUUUUAAAUAAUGAACGUGUUUGUUAUAUUGUUUUCAUACCAUGUUAGUAUCUGCUACAAUGUAAAGAGUUGUCAUAAGAUUGCAAUAGUUAAGUUCUGUACACUGUUUACAAAUGUUAAUAGCAGUUUCUAUAGUAUCACGCCGUUCUAUAUACAACAAGAAGUUCAAAUUAUGAAUUAUGUUUUUGUUAUAAAGUAAUAGUUUAAUCUGUUAAAAUCACUGCACUAUAAUACUGUUAAAAGUAAUUAUUUGAAGGGUGUGUGGGAUACAACUAACUAGGAACGGAAAUUACGACGUUGCUUUAACGAGGAGGCUCAUUGGACAAACGGCUUUGCAAAGUAUAUUGUAAGAAUAUUUCUUUAAAAGAUACGGAGUUUCUGCAUGCAUGCUGCAGAGAAUGUUCGUAUAAUGGUUUCUAUUGAACUGAUGUGUGUGUUGGGUGAAGUAACUAAUCCAAAGAGUGAACGCCGAUCGUGUCGAAUCGGCCUGACAGUGACGAGCCUUGACUUGACAGAGCGCCGGCCCCCGGCCGCCCGCGCUCGCGCUAGUGCCCGCUAGCGCUCCUAUCAACGAUAUGGAGACGAUAACAUCUACCUAAUUAUGAUGGACAAAUAUUUUUGAUAUAAUAGUAAUUGUUGGAGAGUAAGGAGUAAACUUAUGAGUUUUAAUUUGUAAGUAACAUUUGUUGAUCGUUUUCUUUGUAAUUUUGUCUUUGUUAGCUUUAUAAUGUUUUCUUGUAUUGAAAAUGUAAUUCAAAGUUUCGUCGAACGAUACCGUAGCGUUUAAUGGUGCGAGUGUAAAUGUCGCGUCGGUUGUAUUGUUCGGUUCUAUCGUGAUAUGUUUUAUUAUUCAAUUGUACGAUUUGCGUUAUCAUUGUGCCAAGUGAGAUAAUUUAAACUAUGAGAGAUUAAGAUUAAGUGAAUAAUAUCAAAAUUAAUGAAAAGCUUAGAUAUUUAUAUGUAUAAUGUGAUAAUAUAUGGAAGUUUUGGCAAAAACGUUAUUAAGAAUGUUUUACAUUCUUAUUCCGAUUUUCUCAUUUUAGGUUAGAUUAAAAAUAAAAAUAUGAAUUGUAAGUGGUGAGGCGGCGGCGUCGGCGUGACGGCCACGAUAGUCGCGUGUGUCGCGCGCCUGCGCCCGCUCCUCACCCGCUGAUGUCCCGAUACUUCAACACUUGUCUCUUAACAUCUGGUUACGUCUACUCCGUCUCCCAAAUGCAUCAAAAUAAUUUUCAAUUCAUUACAGUCAAAUGGCGUAAUAUUGUCAGUUACACACCGUGCUAUAGUGCUGAAUGUAAAGGGUACAACGUGCAUGCUUACUAAUGUUACAUAAAAAUGAGAGGUUAUCUAAUAACUCUACAACAAAGUCAAAGCUACCUAACGGACCAGGCAGAAUUAUUUUUGUUGAUUCUACCACCUUAGGCUUUGCUUUGUUAUACCGUUAUUAGGUAAUACAAACUGAUAACGUUUUACAUAAAUUUAAUUAUUCAGAAAUAACAUCUCAGUUACUGGAUCUUCCGAUAGAUUGCUAUCGUCAGUCUGACAUCUCAAGAUGUUAAUCUCGUUUAAUUUGGAUUCACUUUAUUCAAUCCAUUAUUGGGUUGUGAUAUUUAUAGUUACAGAAUUUUAUCUUGUCAAUGGUAACUAUCAAGUGAAUCUCGUGAAUGUAAGAUUCUUGUUCUAGAUCAACUAUCGGAAGAUAGCUCUCCCCAGACAUUAUAUUUUCAAACCAAUAUUAUUAUGCCGAUGAUAGGUCAUACAUAGUUUUACUAGGGCAUUUUUGCAAAUUGGUGCGAUCUUGCUUUAUUUUAAUAAUUUAUUUGUAAUUUAUUUUGUUUAUUGCUUUUCGAAGUGAAUAAAUCAUUGUGAUGUAAUCAAAUUAUCUGAAAAAUUCUACGAGUAUACUAUACUUUAGUGAUAGUAUAUUUCUCGCAAUUUUGUAUUGCUUCCACAUAUUAUUGGUAAUAAUCUCACAUAUGGCAAAUAACUCCUCACAGUCGGUCGAGAAAACGUGCUAUAGGUGCAGGUGCUUUAUAUUCAUCGAUAAACUAAGAUACCAAUAUUAGAGAACGAACCGUGAAUGAAUACAAUUAUGUCGCCGUUAUAAUUUUAUGAUUUUAAUUUACGACCCCAUAGUCUCAUGAGUAUACAGGUUUAUACUAUGAAAAUAUAUACUGCCACGUUAAAUAAUAUUAAAUAAGUCCCCCUUAAAUAAGUUACUGUUAUUAUUGAAACAGAGAUAUCGUUGUUAUAUUUCAUGUAUACAUAAUUAUUAUUAUUAUAUAUAUUUACACUAUAAACUAAUCGUAAACUUAUAACGGCUUAAUUUUAAUGUGACAAAUCCGUCUAUUAUAAUUAACGGUACAUUUAUGUAGUACGAGAAUAGAUUUCACAAGAUUUUAUGUACGUAAGUUCCUUUACACGCUACGGAUAGUCUGUAAUGUGUGCUAUGCUAUAAAGAACACACAUUAAACCUUUGAUAAGGAAAUUGAGACAUUUUAGAAAACGGACUUCAUUUUUACAAACAUAUCAGGAAGAAUAAACGUUUAAACUGCCUAUGAUCAGAGAGCAGUGAGAGUCCACUUACUGAGUACACGCCACGACGUUGGCGUGCUAUUGUACAGACCCUAUACCUUAUAUAUGGGCCACAAUCUAAAAGUUAUAAAAUGAGUGUUUAGUGAUAAAAAUAUCGUGCGAUUGACAGCAAUCGUCGCUAACUUUGUUACUCUCCACAAUAGCUGUAUCACUUGAAACUGAUAUGCCAGAAAGUAGUUAAGUACCAAUAACUAUUACCUAUGUUUACUUAUUGAGUUAAGAGGGGCUCAGAAUUUAUUAAUCUGAAAACGAGUGCACGGAGAAGUGUAAUUGUUUGUGCGCUUAUUAGCGUAUUAUAUUAACAGAAUACUGAGGUAUAAGUCCUAUUAUAUCGGCAAAAACUUUACAUUCCAUACUUCACAAAAUAACACCUAUUGCUGAAAACCGACCAUCUGCAAAUGAGUAUUUUAGAAAAUUUACUAAAUUAUGAUAUUUUUUGCGCAUUCAGUGUUAUUACUUAUAUACGGUACGAGUGAAAAAUAAAUGUGUAGAUGUAUGCAAGCUAAUUAUUGUUUCGCUAAAAGAAAAUUGUAUGCAUUAACGAUAUUUGAAUGUCUUGGAUUAAUGUUUAGAAUUCAUAUUGGUGUAAUAUUUCCACUCGUUAGUAGUAUAAACAAUAUUUUCUGGACAAGAGAAAUUGGCUUGUAUUUGUGUUCAAUAUCGGUCCACUACAGCAGAAGUUGCUUGACCGAGUAUUGUUCGACACCAGCCAGAUUCCGCUUGCAUCGGCUAUCAGAAUGGAAUAAAAUAUACGGUUACUUUCACUGCGACAGGAAGAGUGUACAUAUUAGGCAUGUUGUUUAUUCCUUCCAAAUGUAAGCAAGAGAGGGUACAUUAUGAUUUGCAAUGUUAGGAUGCAGAAAUAGUUUUAGUUGAUUCUUAUUGUAUCGUUGCGAAGUAGUUUAAGUUGAUGAAGGCGCGGGCGGCGCGCGGCCACGAGACUGAACUACACCCCUGCCGCCGCGCCCUCGCGCCCAUUACUUACAUAUUGUCAUUGUCGCUAUUAUCAUUCUUGUUUGAUGGUUCUACUGUUAUUUACAUUACAUUAUAAUUCUUUCUCGUGUGUGUAACCACUAUUUUGUGUAUUUACGUGUGAAAGGAUCGAUUUCAUUUUAAUGUGCAUGAUUGUAAUUUUGGAUAUUAUCUAAUAUGUAUGAAAUGUAUGAAUAUUGUCAGAUUAUUACGGUUGAUUCAAAUAAUUAUUAUUUUUAAUCAAAUCCUUGAGCGCACAUCGCAUUUUAUUAUUUUAUUUCAAUAACUUGUUAAUUUUAUUUAGUGGGGGAAAUUGAGCACUCAUGAUUCUGUUGUUCGUAUGUUACAUCCCCAAGCAAUGUAUGCUAAAGAAGUUUACCGAGUCUAUAGUAAUAGUGUUUAUGUAUGUCGUAUGUAUUUAUGUACCUUGCUGGAGCAUGUAUAUCAGUGUGUAGCGUGGUCGCGUGGCGGCCGGGCGCACGCGCGACGCACCGCUCGGCCAGACGCGAGCGUGUCGUCGCGUCUCGUCUCGUCCCGCCCGCCAUGUGAUAAGUAUACAGCAGAACGCCGAAUAUCCGAAUUAAUUGGCUCCCCAGAGCUCCGAUAUAAUCAGACAUACCUAGAAAUUCUACCUAGGUACAGUUACCGGCACGGAUGUCGAGCCCUGACCUUCACCUGCGCACAAGCGAUUUACUGCCUUAUUGCCUUAUGCGUACGGGUGCGCAAAGCCAUCCCCACUCUUCCGCCGAGAGCCCGACAUCCGUGCCGGUAACUGUACUACAUGACCUUCCUCACCGAAUACCUCAUGGCCACGGAGAAACGCACGGAAGGGUUACCAAGCAGAAUUCUACCAUAAAAUGUGGAAAUUAUUUUUAUUUUUCGGAUACUUGGCGAUGCGGUUAAUCGGCAUUCGGAUAAUCGGCAUUCUACUGUAAUUAAGUAACGGCCGUACAUUCGCGAUCUCAUGAGGCGGGACCCACAGUAUGCGUUAUUUUUGUUUAGAUAUAGAGGAGCUGUUGUUGUUGCUUCUCAAGUGAAUGUAUCAAGGUCCAAUAUUCAUUGAUAUAUUGUUUUUUUUUCACUAUUCUUGCAGGACAAAUAGACAUACAUAGUUCGCCACAUUUUCUUUAAAUUUUACUGUUAUUUUUAGAACCAUUUUAUAAUUGGUAUAAGUUCUGAAACUAAUAACUACCUCAAUAUUACUAAAUGAAUAUGAUAAUUAUCUUUGUGCAUGUUUUUUGGGAACUGAAUUUAAAAGAAUACGAAAAUUCAAUAUAGUAUAAGAUUGCUAUUUUAAACAUAGUAACAGAAAGUUGUCAAAAUUAGGUUUCUUAACGUAAUAAAACUGGUGAAAUUUGA
rnacentral:misc_RNA from 1 species